CCUACGGGUGGCAGCAGUGAGGAAUAUUGGUCAAUGGACGAGAGUCUGAACCAGCCAAGUAGCGUGAAGGAUGACUGCCCUAUGGGUUGUAAACUUCUUUUAUAAAGGAAUAAAACGAGGCACGUGUGCCUUUUUGCAUGUACUUUAUGAAUAAGGAUCGGCUAACUCCGUGCAAGCAGCCGCGGUAAUACGGAGGAUCCGAGCGUUAUCCGGAUUUAGUGGGUUUAAAGGGAGCGUAGAUGGGUUGUUAAGUCAGUUGUGAAAGUUUGCGGCUCAACCGUAAAAUUGCAAUUGAUACUGGCAGUCUUGAGUACAGUUGAGGUAGGCGGAAUUCGUGGUGUAGCGGUGAAAUGCUUAGAUAUCACGAAGAACCCCGAUUGCGAAGGCAGCUUACUAAACUGUGACUGACAUUGAUGCUCGAAAGUGUGGGUAUCAAACAGGAUUAGAUACCCCUGUAGUC
rnacentral:rRNA from 1 species